ACCUUCAAAAUAAUGAAAUUACAGGUUUUUCCCAACAUGUCUGGUUAAGUAACAUCUUUUUCUCUCUCUUUUCCACCUUGCCUCUUCUCUCUCUCUCUCUCUCUCUCUCUCUCUCUCUCUCUCUCUCUUUCCUAGCCAACAACACUGUCUCAAAGUCUCCCUCCAUACUACAGGAAGACAUAAUGAGCAUAAUGAGAACAGAGCCAAAAAUCUCUCUUUAAGCCAAAUAGAGCCCUGAUCAGGAAGCCAAAUCUUUCAUAUUCUGGAUUCUAGAGCUGUGAGGAAAUGAAUUUAUGUUAUCUGAUCCAUUCAAACUGUGGUUCUUCAAUAUAACACCCUAGCUCACUAACAAUUGCAGUUGUAAAAAUUCAGGAAAGAGUUUCCUACAUCAGUGCAGUACCUCAACCCCGGUACUGAUGAUAUCCAUGGGUUUUCAUUAGAGUCCAGUAUCGUUUUCUUUUUAAACUAAAAUAAAUGUGAAAUCUGUCUGUCUCCUUGGGACAAGGCCCUCAUUUCUAGGGUACUGUCUCCAUCCUCUUUCAGAACUUAGUUUUGUUUGCUUGUUUCGCCAUUUCUUGUUUCUCCUUGCUGUAUAUCAUCAGAAAUCUGUGCCAACCCCUGGAUACUGAUGCUGGCAUAGUGACAAUAGUUCCUGACCUCACACAUCCCAACUUGGUACUUGUUGCUAGCACUUUUCAGCUUCAAAAAGUUUAUUAAAUAAAUUUUAAAGGCUUUGAUCCCUGGUUAGGUCAAAAUGAAUUAGAGUCCUGCAAUUUAUUUUGUCCAUAUUCCCUAAGCUAAUUACUCUUCAGUUUGUCUAUUCAGGUCUUUUUUUUUUCCCCACAAAUAACUAUCCUUGCUUAAGUUUAUGUGGCUCCUUGCGGCAACACUGCAUGGUCAAACCAUCUCUCAAAGUUUGCGUCUGAUGCUUUAAACAUAGUGUUGGAGGUAAACUUAAUGAGCUCAUUUUAUAGUCUCAUAUAAGUCAUGACAGAAAUAUUAAAUCCAGGGGUGAAGACAGAAUUUCUUUGGCCAUCACAGACUUUGUUGAAUUGUGAAGUUUAAAACAAAUCACAGCAGAGUGUUUACUAACCUAUGGUCUAUGGGGCCACCAUUACAUAGUGUACUGGUAAAUAUGUCCUGGCAUUAGAAACACCAGUCUUGCUCCAUGUAAAAUAAAUACCCAUAUGUCCUUCCUUUAUAUAUUCCAUUAACAAUGAAGAAAACCCGAGGCUAUGCUGUUGGUAAAAUAAUCAUAUGGUUCUCACUCAUUUCUGUUAAAAAAUAGUAGGAAUCCUUCUUACAAAUAAUGUCUCGUGAGGACACUAUGCAAGAAACUUGUGUAAUUCUUUACAUGAACAAGUCCCACUGGUGGCUCAUUCACAGAGUUAUAAUCUGUCUGAUCCAUCCCCAGCUGUCAAAUCAGGAACAUUUAGGCCUAGGGAAUGUGAGACAGGAUGAAUUUUCUUACAUGAUCCACUGCAGCCUUCACUCAUCUUCAGUCUCCUUGUUUCCCUACUUUACAAUGUUGUAAUAAAAAAAAAUCCAUUAGCCAAAUGGAUCUUGUCUUCUGAGGUGUCUUCGGUGUCUCUUCUGUCAGUGGCAGCCUGUCAACAUAGCCACUGCCAUUUGACAAAUGCCCUGCUCCUCAUUAGAAAAAUCUUACUCUUUGGGCAAGUGACAUUUAAGUGUCUGUUUUUCUUUUCUCGCUAUUUAACCUUUACUUCAAUUUGAUGUGAUUUAGUGUUUUCCUUCCUUAACUUGGUUAAAUUUCCACUUCUGACACAUUUUAAAAUUACAAUGGAAGACUUAGGGCCAAUGAUUUAUUUCUCCCCUCCUUCCUUUACUUUCCUGUCUCUUUUCCUACUUUCCUCUGUCUGUCUCUCCUUCCAUCAUCCUUCCUCCCUCCAUUUCUCAUAUUUAUAAUAUGUCAUCUGUUUCCAUGAAUAUUCAAUGCACACUUUCUGCUAAGAUGUUUUUUCCAUCAAUCAUAUCUGGUGUUUGUGAAUGAUACAUUCAUUAUGCCAUCAUACAUGAGACAUAUGUAGCAGACCUCCUUUUUCAAGGGUUUGAGGAACAUCCCAAAGUGACUGCAGAAAGAUUUUAAGAUCCACAGGACAUGGUCAAAACAGUAUCUAUUGGACUUGACAGGACUGUGCACUCAUGAGAGAUCAUAGUAGUGGUAGCCUGUAUAAGGUCUGCACAAAACCAAUCAAGUCAAUAUUUCAGCUUGGAAUGGGAAGGAGGUCAUGAAAACUACCUUUAUCUAUAGAGCUAUUCACCAUUGGUUGUUGCUAGGGAAAGAAGAGUCAGGUGUUAUAACUUAAAGGUCAACCAUGCUCUACAUGGCACACACCCCUGAAUAUAUGAACAUGACAUAUUGAAAUCUGUGUUAUGAAAUAAAGAAUGCAUGAAGUUUAGAGGAAAUGGGAAUGUAUGGAGUCUAAGUAGCAUUAGAGGGAGGUUUAAGGUUUGCAUAUGGUCAAACUAUUUACAUAGUAUACUAUUUACAUAGUAUCCCUGUAUGAAACUCUCUAAGGAUUAACUUAAAAAACUUAAAUGAAUUUUACCCCUGCUAUUAUAUCAUACAGACAUACAUACAUAUAUAAGAUUACAACUCCAGACUUUGUAAUAUCUAAGAGCAAAGAUUUCCUUGUUGCCUACUGUAGCUGGAUAACUACAACCUAUGUAUUGAGGGGGGAGCGGUAUAUACAGUGAAAACUAACUAAGCAAACCAAAACACACAAGCAUCAAAAUAUAGAAAUUCACGGAUAAAUUUCUUAGCUGUUGAAGGAAGGUGUAGGAGAAGGUUAGGUAGAACCACAUAUCUUUUAGCCCUAAUGCUAUUGCCAUGCUGGUUCUAACAUGUAUGGAUAAUACUCUUCUCCUGAAAGCCCAAACUCAGACAACUAUCUAGGCUUUCCCAUCAUUCCCAACUGUGGUAGGGAUAUACAAGAGGAAUCAAGAUAGGGAAUACAAUAAUUAGCAAUAUGGAUUUCAGUACAAUUUUCAGGAAUUGCUAGCCUGAUUAGAGGGCAUGUAGAUUUAUCUCCUAGAAAUACUUUUGGUUCGUAUGAUCAUAAAGAUGGUAUCAUACAGGAAAAAACAAGAUUUGCAUGUCAAAGACUGGUAACAAGUUCAAACCAGACUGUUUCUACUCAUCGGUUCCAUUUACUAAUUUUAAAUGUACACAAGUAAGGUCCAUUUUUACUUUACGUUUGCACUCAUACAUGCAAGCUACUUAUAAUAUUCCAGUCAUAUUUGAGGAGUGAGAGACAAAUUUCAAGGAAUUUCACUCUAGAGCCAGGCUAGACAUCAGAGGGCCAUUUAUAUUUCCUUGGUUUAAAAUGAGCAGUGACAUGGGCCAGUUGAUCACCUGCAUGGUAUGACUCUACUUGAAAUCAUAUCCUCAUUCACAACUUGUACUUUACAUUAUCCAAUUUUAUCACCAAGAUUCCCC
rnacentral:lncRNA from 1 species